CACUUAAAAGCUCUGAAAACAUUUGACAUCUAGUAAAAGGUACCUUAAGAUACAUUUCUCUAAACUCCUGACAUUAAUAUCUGUCUUUAGCACUCAUUGUUAGCAUGUUUAAGACAACAGGUGCGUAAUAUCUCCUAAUAAAGAUAGAUCAGUAAAGAUGACUGUUACGGAAGUUGUGUUCCAUAUAAAAAACAUCAAAUGACACACACUUAAAUGAUGGCACAUUACAUAUUUAUAAUGGCA